UCUAUUGGAGAUGAUGAAGUUGUGGCGCAUAUUCUCAAUGGUUUAGAUUUCGAUUAUCAUCCUUUUGUGUCCUCUAUGCUUGGCCAUGGUGAUGCUAUUUCACUUUCGAUC
rnacentral:snoRNA from 1 species